rnacentral:rRNA from 1 species
CCUACGGGAGGCUGCAGUCGAGAAUCUUCGGCAAUGGGCGCAAGCCUGACCGAGCGACGCCGCGUGGAGGACGACGGCCUUCGGGUUGUAAACUCCUGUCGAGGGGGACCAAGGCCCCGUGAAGAACGGGGCUCGAGGUAUCCCUGGAGGAAGCACGGGCUAAGUUCGUGCCAGCAGCCGCGGUAAGACGAACCGUGCGAACGUUAUUCGGAAUCACUGGGCUUAAAGCGCGUGUAGGCGGGCCGGCACGUCGACGGCUGAAAGCCCCCGGCUCAACCGGGGAAUGGGCCUCGAUACGACCGGCCUGGAGGGGCGUAGGGGGACCGGGAACUUCCGGUGGAGCGGUGAAAUGCGUUGAGAUCGGAAGGAACGCCCGCGGCGAAAGCGCGGUCCUGGACGCCUACUGACGCUGAGACGCGAAAGCCAGGGGAGCGAACGGGAUUAGAUACCCCUGUAGUC